GAUGAACGCUGGCGGCGUGCCUAAUACAUGCAAGUCGAGCGAACAGACGAGGAGCUUGCUCCUCUGACGUUAGCGGCGGACGGGUGAGUAACACGUGGAUAACCUACCUAUAAGACUGGGAUAACUUCGGGAAACCGGAGCUAAUACCGGAUAAUAUAUUGAACCGCAUGGUUCAAUAGUGAAAGACGGUUUUGCUGUCACUUAUAGAUGGAUCCGCGCCGCAUUAGCUAGUUGGUAAGGUAACGGCUUACCAAGGCAACGAUGCGUAGCCGACCUGUGAGGUGGGUCGGCACCCUGGGAACGGAGCCGGGGACAAGCCUACUGAGGGAGGAACGAGAGGGGAUCGUGCGGAAAGGGCGGAAAGUUUGACGGAGCAGGGCGGGGGGAGUAAGAACGGUCUCGGGUUCUAAAAACUCUGUUAUGGGGGAAAAACAAAUGUGUAAGUAACAGUACAGUCCGUGACGGUACUUAAUAAGAAAGCCACGGCUAACUACGUG
rnacentral:rRNA from 1 species